rnacentral:rRNA from 1 species
GGUGUUUUGCUCAAUGUAGAUUUAAAUGGCCGCAGUACCCUGACUGUGCAAAGGUAGCGUAAUCACUUGUCUUUUAAUUGAAGUCGCGUAUGAACGAAUAUAUGGGGGCCUACUUUACCAAUAAUAGAGUCUGAAAUUACUUAGUGAGUGCCAAUUCUCAUAAAUAUUUAAUAGACGAGAAGACCCUAGAAAUUUUUACACAUGUUUUUGUUGGGGCAACAUAGUAACAAGUAACUUACUAUAUGUAUAUGAAAUUUGAUUGGUAGAUUAAAUUACUCUAGGGAUAACAGCAUAAUUAACAAACGUUUGUGACCUCGAUGUUGGAUUAGGAAAUUAUAACUUAGAAGGUAAAUGAUCUUGCUCUGUUCGAGCA